UACGUAGGGGGGCAAGCGUUGUUCGGAAUUACUGGGCGUAAAGCGCACGUAGGCGGCUUUGUAAGUUAGAGGUGAAAGCCCGGGGCUCAACUCCGGAAUUGCCUUUAAGACUGCAUCGCUAGAAUCGUGGAGAGGUAAGUGGAAUUCCGAGUGUAGAGGUGAAAUUCGUAGAUAUUCGGAAGAACACCAGUGGCGAAGGCGACUAUCUGGGCUGAAACUGACGCUGAGGCGCGAAGGCUAGGGGAGCAAACGGG
rnacentral:rRNA from 1 species